AUUGAACGCUGGCGGCAGGCCUAACACAUGCAAGUCGGACGAGCGGCGGACGGGUUAGUAAUGUCUGGGGAUCUGCCUUAUGGCGGGGGAUAACUACUGGAAACGGUAGCUAAUACCUCAUACCAUCAGAUGAACCCAUAUGGGAUUAGCUAGUAGGUGGGGUAACGGGUCACCUAGGCGACGAUCCCUCGCUGGUCUGAGAGGAUGCUCAGCCACACUGGGACUGAGACACGGGCCAGACUCCUACGGGAGGCAGCAGUGGGGAAUAUUGCACAAUGGGCGCAAGCCUGAUGCAGCCAUGCCGCGUGUAUGAAGAAGGCCUUCGGGUGGUAAAGGACUUUCAGCGGGGAGGCGUUACCGACAGAAGAAGCACCGGCUAACUCCGUGCCAGCAGCCGCGGUAAUUC
rnacentral:rRNA from 1 species